rnacentral:rRNA from 1 species
UACGUAGGGUGCAAGCGUUGUCCGGAAUUAUUGGGCGUAAAGAGCUCGUAGGCGGUCUGUCGCGUCUGCUGUGAAAACUCAGGGCUUAACCCUGAGCUUGCAGUGGGUACGGGCAGACUAGAGUGCGGUAGGGGAGACUGGAAUUCCUGGUGUAGCGGUGAAAUGCGCAGAUAUCAGGAGGAACACCGGUGGCGAAGGCGGGGUCUCUGGGCCGUAAACUGACGCUGGAGGAGCGGAAAAGCAUGGGGGAGCGAAACAGG